UACGGAGGGUGCGAGCGUUGUCCGGAAUCACUGGGCGUAAAGGGCGCGUAGGCGGCUUGGGAAGUCUGUGGUGAAAGCUCGUGGCUCAACUGCGAGUCGGCCAUAGAUACUCCUAAGCUCGAGUCGACUAGAGGCAGAUGGAAUUCCCGGUGUAGCGGUGAAAUGCGCAGAUAUCGGGAGGAACACCGGUGGCGAAGGCGGUGGUCUGGGCCGGCACUGACGCUGAGGAGCGAAAGCGUGGGGAGCAAACAGG
rnacentral:rRNA from 1 species